rnacentral:lncRNA from 1 species
GUUCUGUCACGUGGAAUCUCUUAGCCUCAGGGAUCCGGAACUCCGGGAAGGGACUACUUCGAAUCAAAUAGAAUUAUACGUAAAUCCUUUUGUUUGAAACCUUCAGCCCCCAAGAUCCAGAUUCCUGAAGAUCCAGACAUCAUGACCUCAGUUUCAACACAGUUGCUCUUGGUCCUCAUUUCACUGCUUUUGGUGCUGCCUGUUGUUGAAGCAGUAGAAGCUGGAGAUGCAAUCGCUCUCUUGUUAGUUUCUUGGAAUUCUCAAAGCGCAUGAAAUAGGAAGAAGGAAACCCUUGCCCAGAAUCCUAGGAAAUUGCCAGUUCCUCCCUCAUUGAGGAGUCUUUUCUUCAUACUUCUAUUAGAUUUUUGUUUUGUUAACUCCCAACUUAAUAUUGUACUUAGAUAGCGAAUGCAGUCAGUCAGAAAUUAAAUUUUUUAUUUCUCUGGGCGGAUGUAAGAAAAAUGUAUUCAGUGUAUCUAAUGUUAAAAUGGAGACAAUAUUUAAUGUAAAAAAAUACUUUAUAUUGACAUUGGAAUGGAGAAGAGAUUUAAUGUUUAAAAAAAAAAAACCUUUAUAUUAACUGAGUAACAUCUCCACGAGGAGAAGUACUAUAUUAAAUAUAAACCCAUUAUGUUAUAAGUUAAUGUGUGACGUUCAUUUCUGUUUACUUCAAGUUGUUUUUAUCUUUGUAUGGACUUUUUUGUCAGCUAAGUGGCAGAAUUCCUUACCUUAAGUGAUCACACUAACUUAUAGAAACACUAUUAGUGAUACGUGGGAAAUGGGCAGUAUCAAGGUAGAAGUCCCUGGUAGAGAAUCCACAGAUACAGAAGGAAAAGGUAAUGACCUAUACAAAUUUACACACUAACGAGAUGAAACAUACCCUAUCUGACCUAACUACUGAAGUGUCCUCAAACUGGUAAUAUCAUCUGAGGACUUGUUAGAAAUGCAAAAUCUCAGACCCGGUCCAGACCAAUUGGAUCAGAAUCUGCGUUUGCUUCAGGAGCCCAGGGUAAUUUGUGUGCAUAUUCAAGUUUAAGUAAAGACUGUUUUUCACCGUUUGAACUCAAGAAUCACCGGAAGGACUUGAAAAAACUUUCAGAUUCCCAAAUCUUUCUCCUAGUUGCAUUGUGGUAAUUUUAGGUUGGGGCCUGGAAUUCUAUGUUUAACAAAAGGCCCUCAUGAUUCUUUUGAUUCUGUAGAUAAUAAGCCAGCAGAGAAUAGUCUUGAGUAAAUCAAACUACAUGAGGGUCCUACUGGAAACAGGUAAUCAAGUGUUUUACUGAAAUAAUGCAUUAUCCAAUCUCUAGCUCUCCAGGUGACAUUGGGAGUCUUAAUGUUGAUUAGAGAACAGGCAGUAGCAACCUAAAACCCUGUUGAUAGUGCGAGCUCACCUGGCUUGCAUGAAAGGGUUGGGUAAAGAGUACCAGAAGUGAGGGACAGCCAUGCUCUACAGACAGAAACCGAAUAAAUCUAUUUUUGUCAUAGCUAUUUUAUUUUUU